rnacentral:rRNA from 1 species
GACGUAGGGCGCGAGCGUUGUCCGGAUUUAUUGGGCGUAAAGAGCUCGUAGGCGGUCUGUCGCGUCUGCUGUGAAAACUCAGGGCUUAACCCUGAGCUUGCAGUGGGUACGGGCAGACUAGAGUGCGGUAGGGGAGACUGGAAUUCCUGGUGUAGCGGUGAAAUGCGCAGAUAUCUGGAGGAACACCGGUGGCGAAGGCGGCGUUCUGGACUGCAACUGACACUGAAAAAACGAAAGCCAGGGGAGCAAACGGG